rnacentral:rRNA from 1 species
UAUGGAAGCUUGCUUCCACUGAGAAGAUAGUGGCGAACGGGUGAGUAACACGUGGGUAACCUGCCCAUAAGAGGGGGAGUAACAUCCGGAAACGGGUGCUAAUACCGCAUAGUUUUCUUGAUCGCAUGAUUGAGAAAGGAAAGACGGCCUUUGUGCUGUCGCUUAUGGAUGGACCCGCGGCGUAUUAGUUAGUUGGUGAGGUAACGGCUCACCAAGACGAUGAUACGUAGCCGACCUGAGAGGGUGAUCGGCCACAUUGGGACUGAGACACGGCCCAAACUCCUACGGGAGGCAGCAGUAGGGAAUCUUCCGCAAUGGACGAAAGUCUGACGGAGCAACGCCGCGUGAGUGAAGAAAAGGUUUUUCGGAUCGUAAAACUCUGUUGUCAGAGAAGAACAAGUUGGAGAGUAACUGCUCCAGCCUUGACGGUAUCUGACCAGAAAGCCACGGCUAACUACGUGCCAGCAGCCGC